rnacentral:misc_RNA from 1 species
GAGGUAAAACAAGAAAAGUAAAAUAUAUUUAAUUUGUUCUGCAUUUAGUUUUAAAAGUCCUAUUUUCUCUCAACAAACAAACAUCUGGGAGGUUCAGAGAAAAAUAAUUAAAUGUUAAACAGACAUUAUUUCCUCCAUGUUCUACCAAUUAUCACGUCAAUUACUGUGCAACUUCUAAUUGUUUUUAUUGAUAUGUUAUUUAUGUGGGUACUGUUUAUUGAUUUGUUUGCAGUCCUAUGCUCCAGUGGGGGCAAACAGGACUAAGAAGUCUGUUUAGUAGUGAUGCUACAUAUGCAAACUUUCGGAAUGAAAAUAAUGAUUUCAUGUCAAAGUUUCAGUGACUAACAUUUUGUUUAAGUUAUUUUUGGUGUUAACUAAGAUGGGUCAUUUAAUAUGCCAUUUCCAGAGUUUUUCUUGUGUGAAUAUUUUUUAUAUGGAUAUUUUCUGAGUUUGGGAAAUGGUCAAAUUGUGAAUGAAACCUAUGAGUACUGCCCAAAUUUUGCCAGUUGUAAUCAUGUUGUUGCCACAUGUUAUUGGACAGUAUUGGCAUUAUGCUUUCUUGGGGAAUCUCUCCUACUGGUCAGUUGAUACUUCAAACAGGAGUGCUUAUCUCUGUGGGCUCUGUGUUUUAUUUUGUAUGCUUUUUUGUGUUUUCUCUAAUUUUGAUUGUGUUCUCAGGCCUGUAUACCUCUUCACAGGCUACUUCUCAGACUCUUCAAUUGAUGUACCACAAGCGAUGAGAGACCCAGACAUAUGACAAUAGAGAAGCUACGGUCUUGCUGGACAUGGCAACGACAGGACAGCAGCUCUAUACAGUGGAUUGCAUAACCAGGGAUGAACGAAGAGUAGCAUGUGUUUCUUUGCAUUAGCUGUUUUAUUUUGUGUGCUUUCUUGUGUUUUCUCUAAUUUUGAUUGUGUUCUCAGGCCUGUAUACCUCUUCACAGGCUACUUCUCAGACUCUUCAAUUGAUGUACCACAAGCGAUGAGAGACCCAGACAUAUGACAAUAGAGAAGCUACGGUCUUGCUGGACAUGGCAACGACAGGACAGCAGCUCUAUACAGUGGAUUGCAUAACCAGGGAUGAACGAGAGGUAGCAUGUGUUUCUUUGCAUUAGCUGUUUUAUUUUGUGUGCUUUCUUGUGUUUUCUCUAAUUUUGAUUGUGUUCUCAGGCCUGUAUACCUCUUCACAGGCUACUUCUCAGACUCUUCAAUUGAUGUACCACAAGCGAUGAGAGACCCAGACAUAUGACAAUAGAGAAGCUACGGUCUUGCUGGACAUGGCAACGACAGGACAGCAGCUCUAUACAGUGGAUUGCAUAACCAGGGGUGAACGAGAGGCUACUUCUCAGACUCUUCAAUUGAUGUACCACAAGCAAUAAGAGACCCAGACAUAUGACAAUAGAGAAGCUACGGUCUUGC